GACGAACGCUGGCGGCGUGCCUAAUACAUGCAAGUAGAACGCUGAAGGAGGAGCUUGCUUCUCUGGAUGAGUUGCGAACGGGUGAGUAACGCGUAGGUAACCUGCCUGGUAGCGGGGGAUAACUAUUGGAAACGAUAGCUAAUACCGCAUAAGAUUGACUAUUGCAUGAUAGUCAGUUAAAAGGUGCAAUUGCAUCACUACCAGAUGGACCUGCGUUGUAUUAGCUAGUUGUUGGGGUAACGGCUCACCAAGGCGACGAUACAUAGCCGACCUGAGAGGGUGAUCGGCAACACUGGGACUGAGACACGGCCCAGAAUCCUACGGGAGGCAGCAGUAGGGAAUCUUCGGCAAUGGACGGAAGUCUGACCGAGCAACGCCGCGUGAGUGAAGAAGGUUUUCGGAUCGUAAAGCUCUGUUGUAAGAGAAGAACGAGUGUGAGAGUGGAAAGUUCACACUGUGACGGUAUCUUACCAGAAAGGGACGGCUAACUACGUG
rnacentral:rRNA from 1 species